rnacentral:rRNA from 1 species
GAAUUCGCCCUUAGAGUUUGAUCCUGGCUCAGGAUGAACGCUGGCGGCGUGCCUAACACAUGCAAGUCGAGCGAUCUUCUUCGGAAGAGAGCGGCGGACGGGUGAGUAACGCGUGGGUAACCUGCCCUGUACACACGGAUAACAUACCGAAAGGUAUGCUAAUACGGGAUAACAUAAGAAAUUCGCAUGUUUUUCUUAUCAAAGCUCCGGCGGUACAGGAUGGACCCGCGUCUGAUUAGCUAGUUGGUAAGGUAACGGCUUACCAAGGCGACGAUCAGUAGCCGGACUGAGAGGUUGAUCGGCCACAUUGGGACUGAGACACGGCCCAGACUCCUACGGGAGGCAGCAGUGGGGAAUAUUGCACAAUGGAGGAAACUCUGAUGCAGCGAUGCCGCGUGAGGGAAGAAGGUUUUAGGAUUGUAAACCUCUGUCUUCAGGGACGAAAAAAGACGGUACCUGAGGAGGAAGCUCCGGCUAACUACGUGCCAGCAGCCGCGGUAAUACGUAGGGAGCGAGCGUUGUCCGGAAUUACUGGGUGUAAAGGGAGCGUAGGCGGGAUCGCAAGUCAGAUGUGAAAACUAUGGGCUUAACCCAUAAACUGCAUUUGAAACUGUGGUUCUUGAGUGAAGUAGAGGUAAGCGGAAUUCCUAGUGUAGCGGUGAAAUGCGUAGAUAUUAGGAGGAACAUCAGUGGCGAAGGCGGCUUACUGGGCUUUAACUGACGCUGAGGCUCGAAAGCGUGGGGAGCAAACAGGAUUAGAUACCCUGGUAGUCCACGCCGUAAACGAUGAUUACUAGGUGUGGGGGGACUGACCCUUUCCGUGCCGCAGCAAACGCAAUAAGUAAUCCACCUGGGGAGUACGACCGCAAGGUUGAAACUCAAAGGAAUUGACGGGGGCCCGCACAAGCAGUGGAGUAUGUGGAUUAAUUCGAAGCAACGCGAAGAACCUUACCAGGUCUUGACAUCGUAUGCAUAGCUCAGAGAUGAGUGAAAUCUCUUCGGAGACAUAUAGACAGGUGGUGCAUGGUUGUCGUCAGCUCGUGUCGUGAGAUGUUGGGUUAAGUCCCGCAACGAGCGCAACCCUUACUGUUAGUUGCUACGCAAGAGCACUCUAGCAGGACUGCCGUUGACAAAACGGAGGAAGGUGGGGAUGACGUCAAAUCAUCAUGCCCCUUAUGACCUGGGCCUCACACGUACUACAAUGGCUGUUAACAGAGGGAUGCAAAGCCGCGAGGUGGAGCGAACCCCUAAAAGCAGUCUUAGUUCGGAUUGUAGGCUGCAACCCGCCUACAUGAAGUCGGAAUUGCUAGUAAUCGCAGAUCAGCAUGCUGCGGUGAAUACGUUCCCGGGCCUUGCACACACCGCCCGUCA